GCCCGUUAGACGUUAAAACAUCAUUAUGAGAUGUAAAUGCUGAUGUUAUCUAUGCAUUUCUGUCUUUUCAUAAGGACUGCCGCAUGAACCUCAGCCUCUGGGUUUGGAUACUCCAUAUGGUGAGUCCGGUCGGGGACUGUAUGUCUCGAACCGCUCUUUGCUUGUCCAGCUGACUAACGGUCCAUAACCUGUCCUGUUCCAGGGGCUCCUGAACUGCCCUACACUCCUGAGGCUGUAGCGCUGGGGUCUGGAGCCAAAUCAGGAAAACAAGGUUAGCAUCAUCAUUUCCGUCAACUCUGGCACCUUUUUCCCCUUCAUAAUUAACUUUUUCCCACUGUGUUUUCGGGGUGUUGCCCACGGUUGCCGCGGCAACAACCCACAGGAAGCCCACCGCUGGCGUACCAGACCGCGUCUCUUGGCCCAGUAAGCGAGGGCCAGUCAGUGCCGCAGUACGGGCCCUACGAGCCUGUGGCUAAAACGGACGGUGUGAAGUCGGCCAAUCAGUUUGGUGAGCUCACACCUCCCUUUUUCCUUUAGCUUUUGUUUCGCUUAUGCUUCUCUGAUGUGUGUGUGUGUGUGUGUGUGUGUGUGUAUAUAUAUAUCAUAUAUAGGAUCUAAUUCUGUGCUUUAACAGCAGGUGAAGGUAGGGUUGGUGCCCAAUCGGAACUUCCUGUGGUGCAGGGAGAGGGAGGAAUCAGACCUGCCAGUCAGUAUGCGCCCUUGGCCUCGGCCCCGCCCCUCAUUACACGGCCAGAGGUGGCGCCCGUCUACCAAACGCCCGAGCUGCUGCAGCCGCAGGUUCCGUCCCACCUCAUCCACAUCCAGCAGAACCUCAAACUCCACCUCCAACCCCAGGACGAGUCGUGGAGGGGUAAAGGUAGGUGGAGUGGCAUCAUUUAAACUCAAGCGACAUCAACAAAACUUAAAACAAUAAUAUUAAAUCAUUUUUUCCUUGUCAAUUUAAUCUGUGUAUGUUGCAUGUUCUGUAAUUAUUCAUCUAUUACUCAUUUUAGAAGUAAAGGAGUCCAAAUAUGAUCCUGCUGGAUUCUUUGGAAAUGGUCGCCAAGGUAGGACUAAAAUUUCCCUUUCGGUUAUAAUAACUGCUGCUGCUCUCAAACACUGAUGACUGAUGACGUGUCUCCGGUUCUCCUUUUCCUUCCAGGAUGAAUCCAGUCAUCUCAUGAAGCCAUGCAGGAUAAAAACCGUAACUUCAAUAUUCCUAUCGUAACAUAGUUGUAUAUUUAAUUCUUGGAUCCAGUGUACCUUUUACUUUUGUCUCCGCUUUUCCGUCAAGCAUCUGUGAACCUUGCAUGUUCUGUUUUUUUUUUAUUAUUAUUUUAAUUUUAAUUUUACUGUACCCUAAAUAUCUAAAUAUUUAAUGUUUUGCUUUUUAUUAAUUUUGAUUAUACUUUCAUAUCUCAGACCUGAUGUAGAAUGUUUAUAUGUAUGUAUGUUUGGUACCAUGUUGGCAUAAUGUGUGCAAUUUUAAUUUCCUGUGGCAAGCACCUGUC
rnacentral:lncRNA from 1 species